GACGAACGCUGGCGGCGCGCUUAACACAUGCAAGUCGAACGGAAAGGCCUGCUUUCCCUUGUGGAUUGCGGGUACUCGAGUGGCGAACGGGUGAGUAACACGUGAGUGAUCUGCCCCCAACUUGGGUAUAAGCCUGGGAAACUGGGUCUAAUUCCCGAUAGGACUGCAGGGUGGUGCCUGUGGUGGAAAACGAUGUUCUAGUGGUUGGGGAUGAGCUCGCGGCCUAUCAGCUUGUUGGUGGGGUAAUGGCCUACCAAGGCGGCGACGGGUAGCCUGCCUGGGAGGGCGGACGGCCACAUUGGGACUGAGACACGGCCAAGACUCCUACGGGAGGAAGCAGUGGGGAAUAGUGCACCAUGGGCGGAAGCCUGAUGCAGCGACGCCGAGUGGGGGAUGACGGCCUUCGGGUUGUAAACUCCUUUCGACCGAGAGGAAGCCACCUGGUUGGAAGGGUGGUGACGGUAGUGGUAGAAGAAGCACCGGCUAACUACGUG
rnacentral:rRNA from 1 species